CUCUGUUCUCUGUGAGUUCCCUGGCGUCCGUGGUAAAUCCUGACAUGGUCUUUUAGACCAGCGCUAUCCCAACCUUUUUGGCACAAGGGACUGGUUUCAUGGAACACAGUAUUUCUGGCCGUGGGGAGUGCUACAUAUAUGAGUUAGUCUGUGGGUAGCUUGUCUGGUUUUGGGGUUUUUAGCUAAAGUUCUCUUGUUAAUUCAUUACAUAAAAGGUAUAAAGGAUUAAUGCUGGUCAGAAGGAUGAUUCAUGUCUUGAGCAAGAUGGAGUAGGAUGGUGUGAGAUUUCAUCAUACUAUUCAGAA
rnacentral:lncRNA from 1 species